AAACAGCCGGGAGAAGAAGAAAUUUGGAAUUUUUGGAAAAAGAGUGGCUGACUAGGAUAGGUGCACGUGUGGCUGUAAAUUAAUGGCGGCGACAAACAAAUCUGGUCCCUAAAUCUACGCUUGUCUCCAGUCAGGAGUGGGCGGCCGUGUGAUGAUUUCUUUUUGUUAUAUAUGUUAUGUUCUGUUCACACAUUCAUACUAUAUGAGCUUUUAUUAUUCGUAAUGUCAUUCGGAG
rnacentral:lncRNA from 1 species